AAGUGGUCAAACAAAGUUAAUCAGAAAACGGUGUAUUACUGAAAACACCAGUGAAACAUUUAUUCAGCUUUUCUCCUCCACACCCCACCUCACUGGGCUCUCAGUCCCUGAGCUUGUAAAUAAUUUCAACUGUAAAAUUACAAAUGUUAUUGAUGCCAUU